rnacentral:rRNA from 1 species
AGCGAACGCUGGCGGCAGGCCUAACACAUGCAAGUCGAACGGACCCUUCGGGGUUAGUGGCGGACGGGUGAGUAACACGUGGGAACGUGCCUUUAGGUUCGGAAUAGCUCCUGGAAACGGGUGGUAAUGCCGAAUGUGCCCUUCGGGGGAAAGAUUUAUCGCCUUUAGAGCGGCCCGCGUCUGAUUAGCUUGUUGGUGGGGGUAAUAGCCCACCAAGGCAACGAUCAGUAGCUGGUCUGAGAGGAUGACCAGCCACAUUGGGACUGAGACACGGCCCAAACUCCUACGGGAGGCAGCAGUGGGGAAUCUUGCGCAAUGGGCGAAAGCCUGACGCAGCCAUGCCGCGUGUAUGAUGAAGGUCUUAGGAUUGUAAAAUACUUUCACCGGUGAAGAUAAUGACUGUAGCCGGAGAAGAAGCCCCGGCUAACUUCGUGCCAGCAGCCGCGGUAAUACGAGGGGGCUAGCGUUGCUCGGAAUUACUGGGCGUAAAGGGAGCGUAGGCGGACAUUUAAGUCGA